AUCUUGCGCAAUGGCCGAAAGGCUGACGCAGCGACGCCGCGUGCGGGAGGACGCCCUUCGGGGUGUAAACCGCUGUCAGUGGGGAGGAACGGCUGGGAGAGGCAAUGCUUCCAGUUUGACAGUACCCACAGAGGAAGCACCGGCUAACUACGUGCCAGCAGCCGCGGUAAUACGUAGGGUGCGAGCGUUAAUCGGAAUUACUGGGCGUAAAGCGUGCGCAGGCGGUUUGUUAAGCCAGAUGUGAAAGCCCCGGGCUCAACCUGGGAACUGCGUUUGGUACUGGCAAGCUAGAGUACGGCAGAGGGGGGUGGAAUUCCACGUGUAGCAGUGAAAUGCGUAGAGAUGUGGAGGAACACCGAUGGCGAAGGCAGCCCCCUGGGCCGAUACUGACGCUCAGGCACGAAAGCGUGGGGAGCAA
rnacentral:rRNA from 1 species